UACAGAGGGGGCAAGCGUUAUUCGGAAUUAUUGGGCGUAAAGGGCGCGUAGGCGGCUUGGCAAGUGGAUGGUGAAAUCCCUCGGCUUAACCGAGGAACUGCCGUCCAAACUGCUUUGCUUGAGACCGGGAGAGGUGAGUGGAAUUCCCAGUGUAGCGGUGAAAUGCGUAGAUAUUGGGAGGAACACCAGUGGCGAAGGCGGCUUACUGGACCGGUACUGACGCUGAUGCGCGAAAGCGUGGGGAGCAAACGGG
rnacentral:rRNA from 1 species